CUGACGUUUGCAGUGCACAGUAAUGCGGCUAGUUACUGAACCGUGUUUAGAUCAACUAAAAAGUUGAACCUUUCAGAUAAAACGUCAUGUGUUUUUAUAAAAAAAGAUUUUACUGCUCUGAAUCUUGUGUGAUCGUCUGGUUAUGAAAGCAUGUGUUUUAAUGUCAUAUGAAGUGAGAGAAAGAGGCAGAGUUUAUAACAUAUAUCUGUAGAGAGAUGUAGAGUGGGUUCAGUAGGGUAUUCUGAAAAUAGUUUUUCCGUCAGUGUUAGUCUGAAGCAGAAGGCUCAUCCGCGAAGUCUUUCAACUUAACGACGGUACCAAAGGCUGUCGUAUUUGGUAACGAUUCGUAACUGGAGCCGAGAGAAGAUUUAUCGAGUGUUUAUCAUAGUGAUACGAAAUUUCGACUUUUUUCAGUAACUUUGAUGGUGAAAGAUUCAGUGGUGAUAUAUUAAAUAGAAGUGGUCUGUUACAGAUAAUAAUGCUUAAUAAUAAUUUAUGUGAAAAUAAAAUCUUUCGUUUCUGUUAAACGAUAAAAUUGUAUGGUAGAUUGAUUUAUUUAAAACUCUUUUAUCAUAUCGUGUACUUUGCAGUGAUUCCUGCAGAUUUAAUAUCCCCUGAAAUAGUGUCUAUUACUCAUGUUUCACUGAUUUAAAAUUCCUGAGUGCAACUGUGGUGGAAUUCAGGGUCGAAAGCAAUUCAGCCCGUGUAUAAUAAGGAAAGUGUUUUCUUAAAAUUAAAUAAAUCCUGCGACUGCUGAAAUUCAUCAUAUAACUCGUAUAAAAAUAGCUUUCAAGUUCCACCAGGAAUAUUUUGGAAAAAUGAUACAUUAAUGUGCUGAUGUAGUUCAUUAUAUCAACAGUUUUACUUAUUAAUAUUCCGGUAUUUUUAAUAUAAUGUAACGCUCUGCUCUGAAUCUCUUCCUUUGAAGAUACAUGUAUAAUAAAAUAAUAAUGUUAGAAAUGUAACCCAAAAUUGGUAAUUAUUUAUAGUGUGCUGUGCUGCGAGUGUAUUUUUGGCAUAAAGUCAGAAAUAAAACUGUGACAUGUAAAGGAGUGCGUUGUUAUGGUUCGAGUUAGAAUUUAGUGCAGAAGUGUUGAAUUCCUUCGAAGAGUUAGUACUGCUGCCCCUGGAUGUUAGACCACCCAUCGUGCCAACAUGCCAUCGGACUUACACUCGAUGAGGUGCCAAAGUCAGCAAGUUGCUGGAUAUUUUGGUGUCGUCCUUCGCGUCUUAGGUGUCGUUUGUUUCAUCUGUGGCGUCAGUUCUGACGACGCAAAAGAAUUUCAAAAUAAUCUACCUGCUCACGUGGUCUGGGCUGUCAGUGGCACGGAUGCUGAGCUACCAUGUGACGUCACACCACCUUCCCCAAAGGACAGGAUCAACAUGGUCCUGUGGUUCAAAGACUCUACGGGAAUCCCGCUGUACAGCCUGGAUGCUCGUGGCGGGAACUUGGAAUCGGCUAACCACUCGUUCAUCAGCAACGACCUGGGAGCUAGGACGUACUUCCAGACUUCGGGCGUGUACCCAGCGCGUCUGCAGGUAAACAAUGUCGGUGUGCAGGAUGAGGGCGUGUUCCGAUGCAGAGUAGAUUUCGUCGACUCCCCCACCAGGAACUUUCGCGUCAACCUGAGCAUAGUAGUUCCUCCUUCCCGGCCAGUAAUUUAUGACGAUAAAGGCAAAGAGGUAGCGGGCCUUGCCGGACCAUUUAUGGAGGAUUACGAUCUAGCACUGUCCUGCCAUGUAAUGGGAGGCCGGCCGCAGCCACAAGUGACGUGGUGGCAUGGAGGACUCCUCUUGGAUAGCGACUCAGAAACUACUUCGGAGAUUUACACAGUGAACAGAUUGUUCAUCAAGGACGUGUCCAGGUCUUUGCUGAACGAAAACCUGCAAUGUAGAGCCACAUCGUCUGAUAUCUCGCCUCCGGUAACGAGAGACGUCGCCCUCGAAAUCUACUUGAAGCCCCGCACCGUCGAAAUCACAUCGCCGGCCGCGCCACUCUCUGCGGGGAAGACGCAGCAGCUGCAUUGCGAAACCACGGGUUCCGUGCCGCCAGCUCGUGUCAGCUGGCUGCUGGACGGCGAGCUCCUCAAGAACGCCCCCACCUCAGUGACAGAGACUCCGAACAAGACGACCAGCGUCCUGUUACUCAGGCCCCGCGCGGGGGACGAUGGCAAGGAGAUAGCUUGCCGUGCGGAGAACAAACACUUCCUCGGGGGAAUGCUGGAAGACCGAAGACGUCUGAAUGUCGCAUACCCGCCCUCCGUGACAGUUCAGCUCGAGUCCAAUAUCGACCUGAAUACAGUCAAAGAAGGGGAUGAUGCGCUAUUGUCGUGUGAGGUGAGAGCCAACCCGCAGCCCGAAUCAAACUCUGUCACUUGGUACCACGGGGAUCAGCUGUUGGAUUACAACGAGUCCGUAGGAAUUCUACCAGAGGGACAUCGGCUGACGCUGCGAGGGAUCACGAAGGAGUCGGCCGGAGACUAUUCUUGUGCCGCGGUGAACAAAGAAGGUGAAACUCGUAGCAGCUCGGUAUUCUUGAGGGUGCAGUAUUCUCCAAGAUGCCGCGAAGGCUUUACAUCGCGUCGCAUCGGUGCUAUACGUCACGAGACUCUGGACGUGAAAUGCGAGGUCACGGCUGAUCCUCGAGAUGAUGUAAAGUUCAGUUGGACUUACAACAAAUCCCGUGACGUACUUCCGGUUCCCGGUUCAAGGGUCAUCCACUCAGGCCUGAUCAGUGUUCUUCGGUAUACGCCAGAAUCAGAGGUUGAUUAUGGAACGCUGGCGUGUUGGGCAAGCAACAGCAUUGGCCGUCAGAGUGUGCCGUGUCUAUUCCACAUAGUUGCAGCGAAAAUACCCCAGCCUCCAGAGGACUGUAUUCUGCGGAACAGGAGCAGUGGCAGUUUGGAGGUGCAAUGCGUAGCUGGGUUCGACGGGGACCUACCUCAACACUUCAUGUUGGAGGUGAGUGAGGCAACAGUGUAUUCAGACACGACGCCCCCCUCGCAGAAGCACGGCGGACCCGUCACACUGAACGACCAGGGUACUCGACACGUGGCCCCAGGACCGCCACUAUACAGAGUGUUCGGCGCUGAGCCCAUGUUCGCGCUAAACACCCUGGAGCCAGGGCGAGACUACGAACUAGCUGUGUAUGCCGUCAACGCAAAGGGUCGUAGUGACCCCCCGGUCAUCAUUCCCAGGGUUAGAGUAUCUGCAUCCGUGGAAAGACUCACCAAAACAGCAGAUACCGUCGAAGAAGUACCCACAUCACAUCAUCCAAUGACCAUCGUGUUAGGUGUCCUUAUUGCAGCAGCCGUCAUAAUUCUGGGCGGAAUUUUCAUCACAGCGACACUCGUUAUCUGCAGGCGACGCUCAGCGACGUCACAGCUGCAGCAAGACGAGAGAGAUGACGUUAAACUGCGCCAGGAACAGCGACCUAACGUCUAUAGCGAUUCUCCGACGCCUCUAAAUCCUGCGACAGUCUUUCCAGUCCCCAGCCAUGUGCAGCGCCGAUGUUGUACGGACUCUGUACCUAGAAUCAGGUUUAGGACCGAUGAUAUAGAAAUGGAAGACAGGAGAUGUGUCUACAUGGGUGGCAUCGAUGAUUCUCUGGCUGUCGGUAAGACGAGAAACCAGUCCACAAACGAACCAGAUCUCAUUGUUUCAAGAGCUGAAGUUAUCUUGAGUACAGCUGCAUCUCAACAACCAAAUACCUGAAAAUCUCUCCUUAGAAUGCUCACCUUACACGUUUAUUGAAAUGGACAAUCUCAGAUUAGACCAGCAAUAAGAAAAUCUGAAGUGAAAAAGAAAAUUAUAAACCAUGUUCAUCGAUGGUUGGUUGUUUAUGUUAAGACAUUUUAUAUUUUUUUCCCUCUCUUUUUGUAGUGACUGUCUUUGUCACUGCAUCGAAACAAGUUUAGUUUUGGAACAAGUCAGUAUUAUCUUUGUUGUGUAGCGUGAAGGACAGCUAUAAACAUGACUGAACACAUCGUGUAGUGGCGUCUGUAAACAACGUAAACAUUCGUACAGUCGAGCACUGUAAUGUAACCUGAAGUGAAUCGAAUCUGUCUACCUCAUUAAGUUCCUAGUAUGAAGACCUAUGAAUGGAUUCAUUGUGUGUUUUAAUAUGCUCUCUAGCGAUUGGAUUAUAAUUAAACACUAAUAGUGGAAAUACGAACUGGUAAAUGCCUUGUCGAAAUGUUGCAGAUAUUUCUGGUGAAGAUAAAGGUGCCUGUGACUGGCCUUGCAAAUGAGGGCCUUUCGUGUGACAUGACCAUUGCUGACAAGAUCAUUCCACAUCAAUUGAUUCGAUGUCAGAAGCCACGAGACGUAAGAUAACUGCGAGUGAAGUGAAGGCGGUACAGAGAGAACUGUGUGAAGAUUUAUCAGGAUUAUACCGAUGAGUUUGUGGAGAUAGUGAUGAGAUCAUAUUCUGUGAGAUGGCUGCGUUUGGCAGGCAACUGUAGCGGUCUCUUCUAAUGAACCAUCACUAGUAUUUUUUGAGAAUAAUUUUGAAAAACCAACAAUCAUAGGAUAUCUAACCUCGAAGAACAAUCCUGAGGUAGAAGAGACACGAGCUUUACGUAAUGCACUGAAUAGAGGAUUCUAAGAAUUUUAAUUAUUUUCUUUCUUCAACACUUUAACUGCUGUUUGUUAUGAAGAGGAAGUUCACGAUGUGCAUUACACUAGUGCCUAGAAAUCGCAGCCUUUACCCCUUGAAGUCGACAAACGCUCCCACCGGGCGUUAACUCGUGGCGAACCCAGGAGAGAGAAAAAUUCCCACUGGAGUCGUGUGGCAGUCAGCAUCCACUGUUCAAAUAUGGCGUGACUGAAGACAAUGAAGUCUCCAGGAAUAAGUGAUGAAAAGGGCUAGAAGAAGCUGGGUCGCUCACACGAUUCGUGAUUGAUCCAAUAAGAAAACGUUAUGAGAUAAAAUAUUACGUCAUGGACGGCUACAGCUGGGAGAGUAAACAAUACAACCACGCCAUUUCACGAUCACAGAUUGAAUAUUUAUCUAAUUGAGAUUAAUGUCUUCAUAGUUCGUAAACUCGCUACUAUAUUAAGCGCAAGUUUGUAAUGGAUGUGUUGUAAAUCACGAGUUGUGAUGUGUACUGACUGGAUCGAUUUUGAGUUAGGUCUUUAUUAUGUCU